GAACGCUGGCGGCAUGCCUUACACAUGCAAGUCGAACGGCAGCACGGGAGCAAUCCUGGGUGGCGAGUGGCGAACGGGUGAGUAAUAUAUCGGAACGUGCCCAGUCGUGGGGGAUAACGUAGCGAAAGCUACGCUAAUACCGCAUACGAUCUAUGGAUGAAAGCGGGGGAUCGCAAGACCUCGCGCGAUUGGAGCGGCCGAUAUCAGAUUAGGUAGUUGGUGAGGUAAAGGCUCACCAAGCCGACGAUCUGUAGCUGGUCUGAGAGGACGACCAGCCACACUGGGACUGAGACACGGCCCAGACUCCUACGGGAGGCAGCAGUGGGGAAUUUUGGACAAUGGGCGCAAGCCUGAUCCAGCAAUGCCGCGUGCAGGAUGAAGGCCUUCGGGUUGUAAACUGCUUUUGUACGGAACGAAACGGUGAGCUCUAAUACAGUUUGCUAAUGACGGUACCGUAAGAAUAAGCACCGGCUAACUACGUG
rnacentral:rRNA from 1 species